GAAUCAAGCAAUCAAGCAAUCAAGCAAUUAAAGGUGGUGAGUUCUCUGAUAAAGGCAAGAAAAUUGCAUCCGAGGACCAGUAAACAGAGUACUUCGAAAGUCUACAUUCUAGACAUUGCUGGGUAAUAUUUCAUUAGUCCUGUCAUGCCGUCAAAAUUUUAUUAUAUGGUGGAUUAUAUAUUAAUUAAUCACUACAGUAGGGGGUUUCUGUGGACCA
rnacentral:sRNA from 1 species